rnacentral:misc_RNA from 1 species
UACGUAGGUGGCAAGCGUUAAUCGGAUUUAUUGGGCGUAAAGGGCGCGUAGGCGGCUCGAUAAGUCUCACUGUGAAAGCCCGGGGCUCAACCCCGGGAGGCCAGGGGAUACUGUCGGGCUGGAGACAGGCAGAGGCUGGUGGAAUUCCGGGUGUAGCGGUGGAAUGCGUAGAGAUCCGGAGGAACACCGGAGGCGAAGGCGGCCAGCUGGGCCUGAUCUGACGCUGAGGCGCGAAAGCGUGGGGAGCGAACAGG